rnacentral:rRNA from 1 species
UGGCGGACGGGUGAGUAACGCGUGGGUAACCUGCCUCAUAGAGGGGGACAACAGUUGGAAACGACUGCUAAUACCGCAUAGUAAGAAAGAUUCGCAUGUUUCUUUCUUGAAAGAUUUAUCGCUAUGAGAUGGACCCGCGUCUGAUUAGCUAGUUGGUAAGGUAACGGCUUACCAAGGCGACGAUCAGUAGCCGGCUUGAGAGAGUGAACGGCCACAUUGGGACUGAGACACGGCCCAAACUCCUACGGGAGGCAGCAUG